rnacentral:rRNA from 1 species
GUCCACGCCGUAAACGAUGAGAACUAGGUGUUGCGGGUAUUGACCCCUGCAGUGCCGCAGCUAACGCAUUAAGUUCUCCGCCUGGGAAGUACGGUCGCAAGACUAAAACUCAAAGGAAUUGACGGGGGCCCGCACAAGCGGUGGAGCAUGUGGUUUAAUUCGACGCAACGCGCAGAACCUUACCUUGGCUUGACAUCCACGGAACCUCUAUGAAAGUAGGGGGUGCCCUUCGGGGAGCCGUGAGACAGGUGCUGCAUGGCUGUCGU